UACGAAGGGUGCAAGCGUUAAUCGGAAUUACUGGGCGUAAAGCGUGCGUAGGCGGUUUGUUAAGUCUGUUGUGAAAUCCCCGGGCUCAACCUGGGAAUGGCAAUGGAUACUGGCAGGCUAGAGUGCGGUAGAGGGUAGUGGAAUUCCCGGUGUAGCGGUGAAAUGCGCAGAUAUCAGGAGGAACACCGGUGGCGAAGGCGGCUCUCUGGAACGCAACUGACGCUGAGACGCGAAAGCGUGGGGAGCAAACAGG
rnacentral:rRNA from 1 species